AACGCACGAGACCUGCGGACCUGCGGAAGGAUCAUUACCGAGUUCUCUGCAACUCCCAACCCUGUGAACCAUACCCAAGUUUUUUGUUUCUCGUUGCUUCUGGCAGGCGGCCCCCCCCUCUUCUGGAGGGCGGCCUGCCUGCCAGGGGCGGCCUGCCUCGAGCCUUUUUUCAAACCCAUACUUUACCAGACCUUCUGAGCUCAAACAAAUCAAUCAAAACUUUUAACAAUGGAUCUCUAG
rnacentral:misc_RNA from 1 species